rnacentral:rRNA from 1 species
UACGUAGGGUGCAAGCGUUAAUCGGAAUUACUGGGCGUAAAGCGUGCGCAGGCGGUGAUGUAAGACAGUUGUGAAAUCCCCGGGCUCAACCUGGGAACUGCAUCUGUGACUGCAUCGCUGGAGUGCGGCAGAGGGGGAUGGAAUUCCGCGUGUAGCAGUGAAAUGCGUAGAUAUGCGGAGGAAUACCGAUGGCGAAGGCAGCCCCCUGGGAUAACACUGACGCUCAUGCACGAAAGCGUGGGGAGCAAACAGG